UACGGAGGGUGCAAGCGUUAUCCGGAUUCACUGGGUUUAAAGGGUGCGUAGGUGGGCAGGUAAGUCAGUGGUGAAAUCUCCGGGCUUAACCCAGAAACUGCCAUUGAUACUAUCAGUCUUGAAUACCGUGGAGGUAAGCGGAAUAUGUCAUGUAGCGGUGAAAUGCUUAGAUAUGACAUAGAACACCAAUUGCGAAGGCAGCUUACUACCCGAAUAUUGACACUGAGGCACGAAAGCGUGGGGAUCAAACAGG
rnacentral:rRNA from 1 species